rnacentral:lncRNA from 1 species
AUUAAUUGGUAAAUGAUAAGAAUUACCAUCUAGUGAUUAAAUACUACAUUUAAUUGCUAUGUACAAAAAUGCCCUUGAAAUUAUAUGUGAAAUUACCAAAAUACCCUUUUAGUGUAUUAUUAGUUAUAUUAUUUAUGGAAUUUUAAAAUCUAAAGUGAUAAACCCUAAGGGUUGUGGCCAAUGUCUAAAAUGCCCUUCAUGGUAGACAUGAGAAGUCUAAACUACCCUUGUGCAUUAUUAAAGGAAG